GACGAACGCUGGCGGCGUGCCUAACACAUGCAAGUCGAGCGAAGUGAUCUUGAAUGAAGUUUUCGGAUAGAUUUCAAGAUUAUCUUAGCGGCGGACGGGUGAGUAACGCGUGAGAAACCUGCCUUUCACAAAGGGAUAGCCUCGGGAAACUGGGAUUAAUACCUUAUGACACUUCAUUAUCGCAUGGUAGAGAAGUUAAAGCGCAAAGCGGUGAAAGAUGGUCUCGCGUCCCAUUAGUUAGUUGGUGAGGUAACGGCUCACCAAGACCGCGAUGGGUAGCCGGCCUGAGAGGGUGAACGGCCACACUGGAACUGAGACACGGUCCAGACUCCUACGGGAGGCAG
rnacentral:rRNA from 1 species